AACCGGCAGGCCGAGUUAUUUAUAACGGUAAAAUAGUAAGGGAGUAAAUAAUUUUGUUUUCAAAGAAAUAUUAUAAAGUAAAAUUUGAAUAUAUUUUAAAUCCCUAGAAACUUUUUCCCAAAUCUAUGAAAUCCUUGAGGGAAACUGGGAUUAGAUACCCCAUUAUUCUAGGACAUAAAAAUUUUACCAGGGUACUACGAACAACGUUUAAAACCCAAAGAGCUUGGCGGUGUUUUAGACCCCCCAGGGGAACCUGUCUCAUAAUCGAUGAUCCACGCUAUACCUGACCCUAGUUACUUGUUUGUAUACCGUCGUUUAGUUAACUUCCAAAAAGAGAAAAGUUAGCCGGGAACUUCUUUGUGUUUAAUAUCAGAUCAAGGUGCAGCUUAUAGUAGGGGGAGGAUGGGUUACAAUUAUUUAAUUAUAUUACGAAUGAAAGGUUGAAAAACUUUUUUAAAGGUGGACUUGGAAGUAAAAACAUUAAGAUAAAUGUUUUGAAUAAGGCUCUGAAAUGU
rnacentral:rRNA from 1 species